rnacentral:ncRNA from 1 species
CUAUGUCGAUGUAACUUACAAAUUAAUUAAUAUUAAUAAGUUAUUUUCAAAUCUCUUUAAAAAAAGUUUGAUCCUUUCUUUAAAGUUAAUUUUUUGUAUGAGUUAUAUGUACAUUUUUAUUUUUUUUUUUUUCAGUAAUUAGUGUUAUUAAUUAAUUAAUUUUUAAUUAGUCAUUCAAUUAUUUAGGAAACAAAAUGUGCCAGCAUUCGCGGUUAUACAUUUCUAAAGAAUUAAUUUUAUGGGUUUUAUAUAUAAAUAAAAAUUGAUUUAAUUAUGUUAUAAUUUAAGUGAAAUUCAUUUUAAUUUUGAUAUCAAAUUUAAAUUUUUUAAAUCUUUUUUCUAAACUAGGAUUAGAUACCCUAUUAUUAAAUGAUGAAAACUAAACUGUAAUAUUAAUAGUUAUGUUCUAUUAAAUUUAAAGGAUUUGGCGGUUAUUUAUUUUAUUAGGGGAACCUGUAUAAUAAUAGAUAAACCACUAAAAUUUAUACCCAUAUAAUAUUUGUAUAUCGCUAUUUAUGAGUGUUUUAAUUAAAUAUUUUCUUUUUCUUUAAUUGAUUAAAUUUAGGUCAAGGUGCAGUUAUAUAUAGGUAUAUAUGGGUUACUUCAAUUAUUAAAUUUUUGAAUAAUAAUAAUUUUAAUUUUUUGAAAUAGGACUUAAUAGUAAAUUGAAUUUAUUAAUUUUUUUGAAUAAAUUCUAAAUAAUGUACAUAUCGCCCGUCACCCCCAUUAUUAAUUGGGGUAAGUCGUAACAAAGUAAUUUUACCGGAAGGUGAAGUUGGAACGU